GACGAACGCUGGCGGCGUGCUUAACACAUGCAAGUCGAACGGACUGAAUCGGCAGCUUGCUGCUGGUGAGGUUAGUGGCAAACGGGUGAGUAACGCGUAGGCAACCUGCCCCCCGGAUGGGGACAACACCCCGAAAGGGGUGCUAAUACCGAAUGAAGUGUCCCAGCCGCAUGGGAGGGACACCAAAGGCCGGGCAACCGGCCGCCGGGGGAUGGGCCUGCGUCUGAUUAGCUGGUUGGCGGGGCAGCGGCCCACCAAGGCGACGAUCAGUAGCCGGUCUGAGAGGAUGGACGGCCACAUUGGGACUGAGACACGGCCCAGACUCCUACGGGAGGCAGCAGUGGGGAAUCUUCCGCAAUGGGCGCAAGCCUGACGGAGCAACGCCGCGUGAGUGAAGAAGGUCUUCGGAUCGUAAAGCUCUGUUGAGGGGGACGAGAGAUAUAAUCAGGCAAUGGGUUAUAGAGGACGGUACCCUUCGAGGAAGCCACGGCUAACUACGUGCCAGCAGCCGCCGCCG
rnacentral:rRNA from 1 species